UAUGGCCUUCAUCGUUAUUUUCUUCAAAGACAAAUAGAAUGUGGAUUUCUUUCAUUAAAGCUUUUUGAACAGUCAAAUGCCAUGAUUGCGUUACUCUCCGAGAUGUUGUAGUGAGGGCUUCCCAAUGAUGUUCUAUAUAAGAUUGGCGAUUGCCGUUACACACAUCUGUGUUAUUUCUGAAAGAAUAGUUCAUCUUUAGCUAUGUACUAUAGAAAUAUAGAAAGAGAUGUUUCUUACGUGCUUGCGUUUUCCUGAAACUUUCAAGGUUAGAAGGUGAACAAUUUUUGCAUAGAAAUACAUAGUUAGUCAGGAAUGGCACUAAUUUUCCCAUUUGAUAUCCAAUGCAGGAUUCAUGAAACCAUCUAUUACAAUUGGCACAUAAUAACUCAGCUAUAUUCAAAUUUCUUUCUUUACCACUGUAAAUAUUUAAUUAUAAGAUUCGUCAUUAGAAAUGUAUCUAAUUAAACUAAUGAAAAUAA